AUGAGCUCGCGUCUGAUUAGCUAGUUGGAGGGGUAACGGCCCACCAAGGCGACGAUCAGUAGCUGGUCUGAGAGGAUGAUCAGCCACACUGGAACUGAGACACGGUCCAGACUCCUACGGGAGGCAGCAGUGGGGAAUUUUCCGCAAUGGGCGAAAGCCUGACGGAGCAAUACCGCGUGAGGGAGGAAGGCUCUUGGGUUGUAAACCUCUUUUCUCAGGGAAGAACACAAUGACGGUACUUGAGGAAUCAGCCUCGGCUAACUCCGUGCCAGCAGCCGCGGUAAUACGGAGGAUGCAAGCGUUAUCCGGAAUGAUUGGGCGUA
rnacentral:rRNA from 1 species